rnacentral:rRNA from 1 species
GGACCCGCACAAGUAGUGGAGUAUGUGGUUUAAUUCGAUGCAACGCGAAGAACCUUACCAGGGUUUGACAUCCUGCGAAUCUCUUGGAAACGAGAGAGUGCCUUCGGGAACGCAGUGACAGGUGGUGCAUGGCUGUCGUCAGCUCGUGUCGUGAGAUGUUGGGUUAAGUCCCGCAACGAGCGCAACCCACGUCGUUAGUUGCCAGCAUUUAGUUGGGCACUCUAGCGAGACCGCCGGUGAUAAACCGGAGGAAGGUGUGGAUGACGUCAAGUCAUCAUGCCCCUUACAUCCUGGGCUACACACGUACUACAAUGCUACGGACAAAGGGCAGCAAACUCGCGAGAGCUAGCAAAUCCCAUAAACCGUGGCUCAGUUCAGAUCGUAGGCUGCAACUCGCCUACGUGAAGGCGGAAUCGCUAGUAAUCG